rnacentral:tRNA from 1 species
GCUAGCGUAGCUUAACACAAAGCAUAG